AUCAAAAAUAAAUGAAGUUUUUAAAAUUUUAAAAUAACUAUAAAGUUUAGAGACGACUAUGAUAAAUCUAUUUAAGUUGAGGAAUGAUGAGUGAAACUUAGCCAUAAGGUAAUCUGGAAACUUCUAACAGCUGGUCAUAGAAUUUUAAUAAUACUCAAAUUGAAGUUCAUAGAUUUUUAUGAUACAAAUUAAAGUUGAUAGAUAUUACUGAUAGAACCAACUAAGUUGAGGGACUAUAAGUGAAACUAACCGAAGAAAUGGACAAUAAACAUAAAUUACCCAUGAUAUUUUAAUAUAAAAGUACAUAAAAUGCCCAUAUUAAAUCCAUUUUAAUUUUGAAUGCAUAUUUACUUAAAACCAGCAAUGUAUUAAAAUAAUUUUUUAAGAAAUUAGAUUAUGAAAACUCUAAACUGUAUAUGAAAAUUUUAAAUUAAUGAAUUUAACACCAUUAAAUAAUGCACCUAAAACAAUAGAUAAUUCUAAGUUAUGUCAUAUUCGUCUUCAAUUAUAUUUUUCUUAGUAUUCAAUUUGUAAAUAAUGAUUUUUUAUGAGAGGAUUAAAUAAAUUAAUGUGGUCUAAACUCUCACACUUGAAACCUUUAAAUGUAUUGCUAAAAAUA
rnacentral:misc_RNA from 1 species